rnacentral:tRNA from 1 species
UGAGGAUAUAGCUCAGUUGGUAGAGUGCUUGCCUUGCCUGCACAAGACCCUGGGUUCAAUCCCCAGCACCACAA